UCUCUCUCUCUCUCUCUCUCUCUCUCUCUCUCUCUCUCAAUCUCUGGUUUAUUGUUUUACUUGAUGAACUGAAUCAGCUUUUGUGAUCAGAGGCGGUCAACUCGGGACUGAUAGUAUGAGUGGUGGGAUUCGUACAAGCGUGAAGGGGUACCUUAUUGCCAAACGCCUGGCUUUCACUGGGGAAAUUGAUACAGUGC